GAUAAACGCUGGCGGCGUGCCUUACGCAUGCAAGUCGCACGGCUCCGGGCAACCGGAGUAGUGGCGGACGGGUGAGGAACACGUACCUGACCUAUCCCGGAGCGGGGGAUACCCGGACGAAAGUCCGGUUAACACCGCAUGAGCUCUCCCGGUUGCGGCGGGGAGAGGAAAAUCUGUCUUUGGGCAGGUGCUCGGGGGCGGGGGGUGGCGGC
rnacentral:rRNA from 1 species